UACAGAGGUCCCAAGCGUUGUUCGGAUUCACUGGGCGUAAAGGGUGCGUAGGUGGUCGGGUAAGUCUGAUGUGAAAUCUCCGAGCUUAACUCGGAAAUGGCAUUGGAUACUAUUCGGCUAGAGGGUUUGAGGGGGGACUGGAAUACUUGGUGUAGCAGUGAAAUGCGUAGAUAUCAAGUGGAACACCAGUGGCGAAGGCGAGUACCCUGGAAACUCCUGACACUGAGGCACGAAAGCUAGGGGAG
rnacentral:rRNA from 1 species